UGCAGUCGAGCGCGAAUAGGGGCAACCCUUAGUAGAGCGGCGCACGGGUGCGUAACACGUGGAUAAUCUGCCUGGAUGCUCGGGAUAACCAGUCGAAAGAUUGGCUAAUACCGGAUAAGCCCACGGUUUCUUCGGAGACUGAGGGAAAAGGUGGCCUCUGUAUACAAGCUAUCACAACCAGAUGAGUCCGCGGCCCAUCAGCUAGUUGGCGGGGUAAUGGCCCACCAAGGCGACGACGGGUAGCUGGUCUGAGAGGACGAUCAGCCACACUGGAACUGAGACACGGUCCAGACUCCUACGGGAGGCAGCAGUGGGGAAUUUUGCGCAAUGGGCGAAAGCCUGACGCAGCAACGCCGCGUGUGUGAUGAAGGUCUUCGGAUUGUAAAGCACUUUCGACCGGGACGAAAACCCGUAGCCCAAUACGCUACGGCUUGACGGUACCGGGAGAAGAAGCACCGGCUAACUCUGUGCCAGCAGCCGCGGUAAUACAGAGGGUGCAAGCGUUGUUCGGAAUUAUUGGGCGUAAAGCGCGUGUAGGCGGCGUGACAAGUCGGGUGUGAAAGCCCUCAGCUCAACUGAGG
rnacentral:rRNA from 1 species